GGACUACGAGGGUAUCUAAUCCGGUUUGCUCCCCCAGCUUUCGUCCCUCACUGUCGGAGCCGUUCUGGUGAGGCGCCUUCGCCACAGGUGGUCCCUCAAGGAUUACAGGAUUUCACUCCUACCCCUGAAGUACCCCUCACCUCUCCCGGUCCCUAGUCUGCCAGUAUCCCUGAAACGCCUUCCGGUUAAGCCGGAAGAUUUCCCCAGAGACUUAACAAACCAGCUACGAACGCUUUAAGCCCAGUAAUAGUGGCCACCACUCGAGCCGCCGGUAUUACCGCGGCGGCUGGCACCGGUCUUGCCCGGCCCUUUCUUCACUUGUUUUUUAAACAAAUGGACAGCCCGAUUUUACGGGCACUCGGAGUUCCCUUAUCACGGUUUCCCGCAUUGUAAAGUUUUCGCGCCUGCUGCCCCCCGUAGG
rnacentral:rRNA from 1 species